CUGGGUUUGACAUGCACAGGACGCCGGUAGAGAUGUCGGUUCCCUUGUGGCCUGUGUGCAGGUGGUGCAUGGCUGUCGUCAGCUCGUGUCGUGAGAUGUUGGGUUAAGUCCCGCAACGAGCGCAACCCUUGUCCUGUGUUGCCAGCACGUCAUGGUGGGGACUCGUGAGAGACUGCCGGGGUCAACUCGGAGGAAGGUGGGGAUGACGUCAAGUCAUCAUGCCCCUUAUGUCCAGGGCUUCACACAUGCUACAAUGGCCGGUACAAAGGGCUGCGAUGCCGUGAGGUUAAGCGAAUCCUUUUAAAGCCGGUCUCAGUUCGGAUCG
rnacentral:rRNA from 1 species